AACGAACGCUGGCGGCAGGCCUAACACAUGCAAGUCGAGCGCUACCUUCGGGUGGAGCGGCGGACGGGUUAGUAACGCGUGGGAAUAUACCUAGUUCUAAGGAAUAGCCUCGGGAAACUGAGAGUAAUACCUUAUACGCCCUUCGGGGGAAAGAUUUAUCGGAAUUAGAUUAGCCCGCGUUAGAUUAGAUAGUUGGUGGGGUAAUGGCCUACCAAGUCUACGAUCUAUAGCUGGUUUGAGAGGAUGAUCAGCAACACUGGGACUGAGACACGGCCCAG
rnacentral:rRNA from 1 species